rnacentral:lncRNA from 1 species
AGUGGAUGGAUCAGAGAAUGAAGCUAGCACUGCAGUGCAUAAAAUGUGACAGCUGAUGUGUUCUGCACUGAAGUCCACAAGCCAAUGGAAAAGUUCUUGGUAGCUGAGGGCUCAGCCAUAGAACUAGAAAUAGAAUACCAGAGCUCAUCUCAUCCUCCUGUGGAAGCAGCUGAAACAACAUGAAUAACUCCAGGGCUCGGUUGUCUCCUUUUGUCUAUAAUCCAAUAAUAAUCCCUCAAAUCACAAUGAAGAGGUGUGAGAAGACCGGAUUCGAUCUAUUCUGGCCAUGGAUACCAUUGGCUGGGGUGAUGUCACAGGACGA